GUGAGGAAUUUUCCGCAAUGGGCGAAAGCCUGACGGAGCAAUGCCGCGUGAAGGAUGAAGGCCUAUGGGUUGUAAACUUCUUUUCUCAGAAAAGAAUUAUGACGGUAUCUGAGGAAUAAGCAUCGGCUAACUCUGUGCCAGCAGCCGCGGUAAGACAGAGGAUGCAAGCGUUAUCCGGAAUGAUUGGGCGUAAAGCGUCUGUAGGUUGUUUAAAAAGUAUUCUGUCAAAGAUUAGGGCUUAACCCGAGGUAGGCAGAAUAAACGUGUAAGCUAGAGUUUGGUAGAGGAAGAGGGAAUUCCCGGUGGAGCGGUGAAAUGCUUAGAAAUCGGGAGGAACACCAAAGGCGAAGGCACUCUGCUGGGCCAAUACUAACACUGAGAGACGAAAGCGAGGGGAGCAAAUGGGAUUAGAUACCCUUGUAGUCC
rnacentral:rRNA from 1 species